CACUACGGCCAUACCACUCUGGCAACGCCCGAUCUCGUCCGAUCUCGGAAACUAAGCAGGGUCGGGCCUGGUUAGUAGUUGGAUGGGAGACCUCCUGGGAAUACCGGGUGCCGUAGGCU
rnacentral:rRNA from 1 species